GUCAGGUAUGUCAGGUAGUACUGAUGUCAGGUAUGUCAGGUAGUACUGAUGUCAUUGUACAUGGAUGUCAGGUAUGUCAGGUAGUACUGAUGUCAUUGUACAUGGAUGUCAGGUAGUACUGAUGUCAUUGUACAUGGAUGUCAGGUAUGUCAGGUAGUACUGAUGUCAUUGUACAUGGAUGUCAGGUAGUACUGAUGUCAUUGUACAUGGAUGUCAGGUAUGUCAGGUAGUACUGAUGUCAUU